ACCUGGCCUGGUGACCUUCUCUGUGCAAGCAGGGAGCAGGCACACACCACCAAUGAGUGAAGAAGGCUGGUGUGGCAUGCUCGGGACCUAGAGGGAACCUGCCUCAUUGACAGGGGACAGCAGCUGCACAGCUCCAGACAAUCGUUGUCAAGGACCGGAAUGAGAUUCUAACAUGGCUGAUCUGAUUUUUCAAGAAAGAAAUGACUUCUGGCAACUGACAGGCUCCACGCUGAGUGUUCACACUGUGCCCAAUUCUGCCCUGAGCACUUUGCUUGGUUUCUCCACAACAAUAUUGUGAUCAGUAUAAUUACUGUUAUUCCCAUUUUAUAGAUGAGAAAAAUAGUAAUGGAGGAAAUGGAAGGAAAAAGGAUGGCCAUAAGUUGGAAGCAGGUAUGGUAACAGUGUCCCUACUUGCAGCAGGCGGGCAAGACAUAUAGCUCAAGGUUUUCCAGAAACCUGACCAACGAUAGGAAAUGGGUCGGCGAUAAUAUUCAUAGAGUCCAGAAGAUAAAAACAAACUGGUUGCUCAGAAGACACACAAAUGGCCCCUAUCUAACGCAUGUGGCCUUGGACAAGUCACUUCUCUCUCAUUCUCUAUCUUCUGUACAAAGGGAGUGAUUACAAUAAUGUCCCCAUCACAGGGCACUUAUGCAGGUCAAGGAAGUAGACAAAUGCAGCAGUCACUGUGCCUAGAACCCAGAAGAUGCUGUAUCAAUGUUCAUUCUCCUGUCUUUCUUGCGGUCUUUUGUUCUCCCUCCAUUUACUGAAGGCAGCGUCUUGGAGUGUGGGUGUUUAACUAUAAAGUCAUUGGCAACCAAGCAGCUGCCCAACCAGCUCAUUAUGACCUAAAAAGAAGAAAGGAGCUUUGCAAGGAAGCUUUGCAAGCAUGCCAGCUCCUGAAUUUCAUGAGCAGUGGGCAGCUGAAUGGUGAGUUCUCGCCUGAGCUCAGCUUAAAAUGCACGUAAGAAUGAAAGGGGCCUCCAGCACAGUCCACCUCUUGCCACUCUGUUAUAGUGCUGUGCCCUGGGAUAUUCAGGAAAGUUACGCUGUUCCAUCAUCUCCUGCAGCCGAGAAACACAAUUGAUUUUCCUGGCCUCAUUUCUGUUAUAAAGAACAAUUUCCCCCAGGGAUCCCCAGAGAACUAAAAUGGAGAAAAUCUCAUUCAUAUUUUACCAUGUAAGCCAAAGCCUAAUUGUUCACUGGACAAUAGAUACAAGCUGAACGCCUAGCCCUUCGCUGGCCCUGGGCCAGGCACAUGGGAUGCAGGGAUGACGUAUACGUGGUGUCUGCUCUCAGGAAAGACUCAUAGAAGGCAAGGUGAAAGACCCAAAUUCAUGGAAGAGAAGUGAGUCACGCAGGGAGCCAGUGGCAGAGCCACACCCCACAGAGCAAUCAACGUGCCCUACUCUGCAGACCUGCAACAUAGAGGGAAGCCAGACUCUGACGCAAGAGGGAAAGACCAUGUGUUGGCUCAGUGUGUGCAGCCUGGAGUGAGCUACUGAACUCUAAAUCCAAGGAUGACUAAUAGGCAGAAUGACAUUAAUACCAGACCUGAUGAAGACAGCACAAAAAGUAAAUCUCAACACAACCUCACAAUAUUAAUAAAGCAAAAAUUUUAAAUACAGUAAUGUAUUAGCAAACAGAACUCCAUGGUACACCAUGACCAAAUGAGGACAUGUAAGAAUGGCUUAAUAUCUGAAAAUAUAUUAGUAUAAUUUACCAUAAUGCCAAGUCAAAGAAGACAAACCAUAUCACCAUGUCCAUAAAUGCAGAAAGGGUAUUUAGGGGGGAAAAAACAUCAAAAUGUAAAUGCUAAAACACUAGAAAUAGCAAAUCUGAAAGUACUGACCACUGCAAUUAGACAGGAAAAUGACAUCAGGAGUCUAAAAAUUGCAAACAGGAAAUAACAUAAGAAAACUAAAUAUCAG